rnacentral:tRNA from 1 species
GCUCAGUUGGUUAAGCGUCUGACUUUGGCUCAGGUCAUGAUCUCACAAUCUGUGGGUUCAAGCCCCACAUUGGGCU